CCUACGGGGGGCAGCAGUGGGGAAUAUUGGACAAUGGGGGCAACCCUGAUCCAGCCAUGCCGCGUGUGUGAAGAAUGCCCUCGGGUUGUAAAGCACUUUCAGUGAGGAAGAACGCCUGGUGGUUAAUACCCAUCAGGAAAGACAUCACUCACAGAAGAAGCACCGGCUAACUCCGUGCCAGCAGCCGCGGUAAUACGGAGGGUGCGAGCGUUAAUCGGAAUUACUGGGCGUAAAGCGCGCGUAGGUGGCUUGAUAAGCCGGUUGUGAAAUCCCCGGGCUCAACCUGGGAACGGCAUCCGGAACUGUCAAGCUAGAGUGCAGGAGAGGAAGGUAGAAUUCCCGGUGUAGCGGUGAAAUGCGUAGAGAUCGGGAGGAAUACCAGUGGCGAAGGCGGCCUUCUGGACUGACACUGACACUGAGGUGCGAAAGCGUGGGUAGCAAACAGGAUUAGAUACCCCAGUAGUC
rnacentral:rRNA from 1 species